CAGCCGCCGCGGUAAUCCGUAGGGUGCAAGCGUUAAUCGGAAUUACUGGGCGUAAAGCGUGCGUAGGCGGUUAUAUAAGUCAGAUGUGAAAGCCCCCGGCUCAACCGGGGAGGGUCAUUGGAAACUGGGAAACUUGAGUGCAGAAGAGGAGAGUGGAAUUCCACGUGUAGCGGUGAAAUGCGUAGAGAUGUGGAGGAACACCAGUGGCGAAGGCGACUCUCUGGUCUGUAACUGACGCUGAGGAGCGAAAGCGUGUGGAGCGAACAGGAUUAGAUACCCGCGUAGUCCCUGUCUCUUAUAA
rnacentral:rRNA from 1 species